rnacentral:rRNA from 1 species
CAACAGCGUAUAUUAAAGUUGUUGCAGUUAAAACGCUCGUAGUCGGAUUUCGGGGCGGGCGGGCCGGUCUGCCGAUGGGUAUGCACUGGUCUGGCCGUCCUUCCUUCCGGAGACCGUGCGUGCUCUUAACUGAGUGCGCUCGGGAGACGGAUCGUUUACUUUGAAAAAUCAGAGUGUUUCAAGCAGGCAGCUCGCUCUUGCAUGGAUUAGCAUGGGAUAAUGAAAUAGGACUUUGGUGCUAUUUUGUUGGUUUCGAACACCGAAGUAAUGAUUAACAGGGACAGUCAGGGGCACUCGUAUUCCGCCGAGAGAGGUGAAAUUCUCAGACCAGCGGAAGACGAACCACUGCGAAAGCAUUUGCCAGGGAUGUUUUCACUGA